rnacentral:rRNA from 1 species
GGUGAGUAAUGUCUGGGAAACUGCCUGAUGGAGGGGGAUAACUACUGGAAACGGUAGCUAAUACCGCAUAACGUCGCAAGACCAAAGAGGGGGACCUUCGGGCCUCUUGCCAUCGGAUGUGCCCAGAUGGGAUUAGCUAGUAGGUGGGGUAACGGCUCACCUAGGCGACGAUCCCUAGCUGGUCUGAGAGGAUGACCAGCCACACUGGAACUGAGACACGGUCCAGACUCCUACGGGAGGCAGCAGUGGGGAAUAUUGCACAAUGGGCGCAAGCCUGAUGCAGCCAUGCCGCGUGUAUGAAGAAGGCCUUCGGGUUGUAAAGUACUUUCAGCGGGGAGGAAGGGAGUAAAGUUAAUACCUUUGCUCAUUGACGUUACCCGCAGAAGAAGCACCGGCUAACUCCGUGCCAGCAGCCGCGGUAAUACGGAGGGUGCAAGCGUUAAUCGGAAUUACUGGGCGUAAAGCGCACGCAGGCGGUUUGUUAAGUCAGAUGUGAAAUCCCCGGGCUCAACCUG